GUGGGGAAUCUUAGACAAUGGGCGCAAGCCUGAUCUAGCCAUGCCGCGUGAUCGAUGAAGGCCUUAGGGUUGUAAAGAUCUUUCAGUGGGGAAGAUAAUGACGGUACCCACAGAAGAAGCCCCGGCUAACUCCGUGCCAGCAGCCGCGGUAAUACGGAGGGGGCUAGCGUUAUUCGGAAUUACUGGGCGUAAAGCGCACGUAGGCGGAUCGGAAAGUUGGGGGUGAAAUCCCAGGGCUCAACCCUGGAACUGCCUUCAAAACUCCCGGUCUUGAGGUCGAGAGAGGUGAGUGGAAUUCCGAGUGUAGAGGUGAAAUUCGUAGAUAUUCGGAGGAACACCAGUGGCGAAGGCGGCUCACUGGCUCGAUACUGACGCUGAGGUGCGAAAGCGUGGGGAGCAAACAGGAUUAGAAACCCUAGUAGUCC
rnacentral:rRNA from 1 species